CUUAAACUACAAAGAGAGAGUAAAAAGGAAGUAGAGAGGCCAGCCCAGAUCGCCAUUCAUGUGAAAACCACCACCAGCACACAAACCAAAGCAACUUCAAACCAAACCUUCUGCACUUAAAAAUUAACUUCUGUUCAACAACUCUACCUAGCCAGAUGUGGUAUCUAAAAAGAGUUUUUGGAUUAAUCUACAUUUCAUGCAGGCUGUUAAAUUUCUGCUGCUGAGAUAAAGCAAAAGAGUGUCCUGGGCCACAAAUCAAAUGCAUCUUUCCAAGUCACGCAGUGGAGAACUAUUGACUGCAGUGAUUCAAUACUGGCAAUGAAAUAGUAUCGAGGAGAGGACAGGACAUGAGGCGAAAGGAAUCUGCUGUCUGUUUUUCAGGUGCCAUUGUUUUAUCUUCCUCAUCCC